rnacentral:rRNA from 2 species
ACGGGGUGCAGCAGGCGCGAAACCUUUGCAAUGUGCGAAAGCACGACAAGGUUAAUCCGAGUGUCUCCUGCUAAAGGAGUCUUUUGUCAGUUGUAGAAUCACUGAUGAAUAAGGGGUGGGCAAGUUCUGGUGUCAGCCGCCGCGGUAAAACCAGCACCUCGAGUGGUCAGGAGGUUUAUUGGGCCUAAAGCACCCGUAGCCGGUUGCAUAAGUUUUCGGUUAAAUCUAUGCGCUCAACGUAUAGGCCGCCGAAAAUACUGUGCAGCUAGGGAGUGGGAGAGGUACACGGUACUCAAUAGGAAGGGGUAAAAUCCUUCGAUCUAUAGAUGACCACCUGUGGCGAAGGCGGUGUACCAGAACACGUUCGACGGUGAGGGAUGAAAGCUGGGGGAGCAAACCGGAUUAGAUACCCGGGUAGUCCCAGCUGUAAACGAUGCAGACUCGGUGAUGCAUUGGCUUGUGGCCAAUGCAGUGCCGCAGGGAAGCCGUUAAGUCUGCCGCCUGGGAAGUACGUACGCAAGUAUGAAACUUAAAGGAAUUGGCGGGGGAGCAC